GACGAACGCUGGCGGCGUGCUUAACACAUGCAAGUCGAACGAAGUGGCGAACGGGUGAGUAACGCGUAAUCAACCUGCCCUUCAGAGGGGGACAACAGUUGGAACCGACUGCUAAUACCGCAUACUGAUGGAGGGGAUUGCGUUUGAUUAGCUAGCUUGGGGGGUAAAGGCCCACCAAGGCGAUGAUCAGUAGGCGGUCUGAGAGGAUUAACGGCCACAUUGGGACUGAGAAACGGGCCAGACACCUACGGGAGGCAGCAGGGGGGAAUCUGCCGACAUUGACGAAAGUCUGACGGAGCAACUGCGCGUGGGAUAUGACGGCCUUCGGGUUGGAAAGCUCUGUUAAGCGGGACGCGGUACCGGAAGAGAAAGCCACGGCUAACUACGUGCCAGCAGCCGCGGUAAUAC
rnacentral:rRNA from 1 species